rnacentral:rRNA from 1 species
AUUGAACGCUGGCGGAAUGCUUUACACAUGCAAGUCGAACGGCAGCACGGACUUCGGUCUGGUGGCGAGUGGCGGACGGGUGAGUAAUGUAUCGGAACGUGCCCAGUCGUGGGGGAUAACGUAGUGAAAAUUACGCUAAUACCGCAUACGAUCUAUGGAUGAAAGCGGGGGAUCGCAAGACCUCGCGCGAUUGGAGCGGCCGAUAUCAGAUUAGGUAGUUGGUGGGGUAAAGGCCCACCAAGCCAACGAUCUGUAGCUGGUCUGAGAGGACGACCAGCCACACGGGAACUGAGACACGGUCCAGACUCCUACGGGAGGCAGCAGUGGGGAAUUUUGGACAAUGGGCGAAAGCCUGAUCCAGCCAUUCCGCGUGCAGGAUGAAGGCCCUCGGGUUGUAAACUGCUUUUGUACAGAACGAAAAGGUUUCUACUAAUACUAGGAGCUCAUGACGGUACUGUAAGAAUAAGCACCGGCUAACUACGUGCCAGCCGCCGCGGUAA